GCUAUAAGGGACGAGAAUGCCAAAAAAAUGUAAGAGAGGAUUGUUGAGAAUUGUGCAAAAUAUAGUGGUGUUUUAUUACAAUGAACCGAAAUAUGAUCAAGUUAGGUCAUUCAAUAAACUCAGAUACGUCCUAAAUCCUUAAAAAAGUCAUGGAAGACUAGUAUAUUGAGUUAAAGUUGCACUAUUAAUAUUAUUUUAGUGAUACUAAUGUUGACAUGGUCG